CCGGGGAGGGAGAGGCGGCGACUUCCUCUCCCACGUGGUCUCGGGAACGCUCCCGGUUCUUUCCGCCCCACCUCUGUGGAGUCAUAAAAACGACCAUGCACUAGACGGAUACGUUGCUUUGGUUCAGCACCUGUGAGUUGUUGUUGUUGUUGUUGUUGUUGUUUCAGCUGUCAUAUCGCGCACGACUCCAGGGCACAGCCUGACUUGCGGGGCUCUGCUGUCUUGGCCUUUUCUGAGCUUGGCCAAGGGUCCAGUGCAGGGGCUUGUUUGAGCACGUGACUGCCAGGGCGGGCCCCCUGCACUCUCCAGAGCUUGGGUCCUCAUGGGGACCUCAUGACCCGCUGCAAUCCAAGCACUGUUUCAGGUCACUGCAGAAGGGGGUUCUGAGCCUGAAGCCUUUACCACUUUUACACCUCCACACACAGGUAGCCUCGAAGGUAUCUUCCACACAUUGUCCCGGAGCUGUAACAGCUCUCUGUUAGCGUCUGGUUGCUACUGUGAGUUCAUGGCAAAUUGUUUCACAUUGUUAACCCAGAACAGACAAUAAAGCACCUCCUUUUGGUACUCCCCGUGGUCUGACCAAGACAGUUUCUGGAGGAGGAUGGGACAAGAACCAAGCUGGAGACGAUGCCUCCACUCACUGCUUCAACAACGACAGCGCUGAUUUUAAAACAAAUCCUAAAGUCGGUUAAUGCCGAUUUACCGAACAUCUCCGAAUGAAGAGCAAGAGCGGCAGCCAAGAGGGGGACAGAGAAGGACUCUCGCCUGCCUUGCAGUGCACUUGGGGGGACAGUUGGAAAAGAGGUAGUAAACCAAUAACAAUGUUGGGAGAAUGAUAAACGCUGUUCCAAGAUUAAAGCAGGACAGCGUGAUGGAGAGGGAGCUCUCGCUGAGACCUGAGAGGGUGGCGAUGUCACGUGCAAAAGCGGGAGGGCGAGGAGAGCAUGACUUGUGAAAUGCCUGCUACGUAGUGGCACAUUCAGUCUGCUCUUCUGGGACAUGUCAAGGCUGGACACAUGCACUCAUGCACAGUCCUUGGACUGUGAGUAGAACUGGACACUGAGUCAAGAUGCAGACCGUCCGAGAAAGAGCACAGUAGAAGCAGCAACCAGAAGGACAUGGCUGGCCAGGAGCCUGAGGACAAGGAACUGAAGAGACUCCUGCAGCUGACCUGAGAGCAGUCACGUGGCUGUGACAGCGUGGAGGCUGUGGAGGGGUUUCCAGAAAGGGUCAAGGGGAGCUUGUGACAUGAAGGGCAAAGGCAAGUUGGAGGAAAACGUUUUAGUUCUUAAAGAAGCCAAGGGAUGGGACAAGGGCUGGGAGGUGCCAUUGCCCUGUGACAGAGACCACACCAGGCUUUCAACAUAAACACGGGAUUUCGUCCUCACACCGUUUCUUGUGGGCUGUCCUGUGGCUUUUCCUCGUCCCCGAGGAAGGAGAGAAGUUCAUAAAGGGCAGGAGACUGAAGAGACUCACCAGAUGCAGGAAGCUCAGAAAGGUACAGGACUUCUCCUAGAGAGUGUCAGUGGUGAACAGUGGCUGUGAGAGGAGACUGUCUUUCAUGGGAUUGCCUACAGAUUGGAUGUGAGUUGUCACCCAUGUUUGGUGAGCCUCCUGGUGUUCCAGCUGCCUUCAGUAACUGCUCCCCCAUGUUCCUGUAAGGAACCCCAGUAUAUUCAUUGGUUCACCAAGCUAGACUUGGGUGGAAUGAUUUCUUUGGUCUUCAGUUGGUGCCCUAUCUGGGGUAAACAGAUGCUUGUUCAUGUCUCCCCAGGGAGGGGGGAAAUCACAAAAUACAGAUGGACAGCAAGACAACAGAAAAGAAUAAAUCACCCAAGGUCUAAUACAGGAGGCGGCAGAUCUGUGGCGUGAACAGUCUUGUGUGAUUCCAAUGUCACCGAACUAUCUCUGUAGUCAAAACUCAUCCCUGCCUGCAGAGUUCGUCUUGUCAAACUUCCUGUAAAUAAAACUUGAUGGUCGAAGGUGUAGCUGAGUGGUGCUAACACUGAAAAGACAAACCAACAAAAAACAACAACAAAAAACCUCGUAUGCUUAAGCAGAAUAUUUAUUUGGAAAGUAUACAGCAGAAUUCUAAAAUGGCAUACACUUUGAAGAACCCUUUGGAACUGGCCAGUAAGACUUGCUUCUUGCCAGCUCUGAGAAAUAAUUACACAGCUUUAUUUUAAUUGAAACAUGACUCCUGAAUUAAUAACUGUAGAAAGAAGGAGGUCAUAGCUUCAGACAUUAUGUUGAGAAAUAAGGGAUCUUCCCACAUGAUUGCUAAUCCAGUCAAAAUAAUUAGCCACUCUGGUGUAAACACCUGGGAAUUCUGGUUUUCCACAGUUUUCACCCCAACUCACAAUGCCCCAAACAUAAGUCACAUUGUUGGCAUCCAUGCAGACCAAGGGACCUCCAGAGUCUCCUUUGCAGGCAUCGAUGGACCCAUCAUCGGUACCUAAGAGAGAAAAUCACAUUUCCUUCCACUUGUCAGGGCCACCAUGCCUCUUUUCUGCUGCCCACACUGAUGCAUGGGAAGACUUGUACUUUUUAAAAACCUUUCCUCAGAGGAAAUAAUGGGAUGCCCUGGGGUCCCUCUUGGGAUUGAAGAUUGAGAUGCAACAUAGGAAAUAAUUCGUAAGCCUUUUGUUUGUAUCCCUAAGUUAGCAUAGUCCUCCUGCUUGGCAUACGUACUUCACAGCACAGUGUAAGGAGAUGCAGUUAGAAACGGGCAGUGUCAAAAGCGGACUAAUACAACGCAUAGCCCAGGUUAACCCCUUGGCACUUACCUGCACAUUGCAUUUCUUUUUCAUAGUAGCGAUCUGGGUAAAACUGAGAGCAGUUGCCUAUCAGGUUCACUUUGCCCCACCUAAGUGAGUAGACUUUUUGGUUAUCUACACAGAGUGAGAAAACAGACAUGUAGAAGCCACAAAUGAGAAAUCUCAAUAAAGGUCGUCAUAACUUAGUAAACCAUUAAGGAGACAAGUGAAUAUACACAAUUAAUUAUUAUGUAUAUGAAUUAUCGAGGGCACUUCCUUAGCAUAUUUACACCAUAUUCACAUUUUCUCUUCGUGGCCCUAGUUUCUAGAAUUACAUUUCUAAAUUGAAAUGAACAGUGAAGGAAGGUUAUCGAACACGUGGCCUGAAACACAGUCAUUUAGUAAAGCCCUGACCCUUAUGACUGAGGGGCAACCGUAUCCUGUUACUGGGUUCAGUAGGGGAUGGCGCAGAAGGCAGAGACGGGACUAUCUCAUGUGCACAUCUUGGAUAUCUUUUCUUACAGCUAGUAAUUUCCUUCAAAUUACUAUUAGAGAGGAAGCGGCCUUGAAGAAGUUAGAAGUUGAAGUUUUCAAUGUGUUGGUGUUUUUGUGCUUGAGGAAGUGCCUAUUUAAGUGAUCUGAAAUGAUGCACAAGGAGACAGAAUGUCCUUACAUUUAAGUGAGUUUGCGGACUUGAACAUCUUUGGUCUGUGGGAAGAGAAGGGCCAUGUGCUACUGACCGAUGGACCAUGGGAAAAGAGAGAAGCGUGAGCACGCAGGGGAGACGGACGGAGUGGGGAGCAAGACCUUGUCCCUUCUCCCCUCUUCCGUUUUCCAGAUCACAGGAUUUUAUGAUGCAGCCUUCGUUCCGUGUCUUCUUACUCACUGUGCAGAGUUCCAGGAGCUCGGGAACUAGGCCUGCCGCUUUCCUCACAAACAUCCAGAAUCUUCUUACACAAUGUAGUCGUUUAAUAAAUUCUUAAUGCAAUUAGUGACUGCCUAGAGUCACAGUGAUUUAAUUGCAAAUGCCUUACAAAUGUUUGAUGCCAAAUUACUCUCCUGCCUGCAUCUCAGCACUGUGCUGAGCAACGCAGUAUAUGGAACUGUGAUCCCCUUUCUGCACUUCAUCUCACAGGAGGUCCAUUUGAAAUAAAACUGCUUAACACCUCUCUAGGUCAAAAAUGAAGCAAAUCUUACUGGCCUCAAGGAUGGUCUUGAACUCCUGAUCCUCCCACUUCUGCUUCUGGGAUUAUAGAUGUUCACUAUCACAAGAGCACAUUUGGUUUCUUGUUUUCAGUCCUGGGGAUUUCAAACCCAGGAGCUUGCACAUGUUAGACAAGUACUCUAGAAUUAAGCAACAACUCCAGUUUCAUGUGGUCCUUCAGACACUGGGGUUCUGAGCAGCCCUGGUACUCAAGUUCUGAGCCCAGGCAGGCAGCUCUUCCUGGAUGGGCACUCACUUUUCUGUACAUGAUAUUUCUCUGAGUCCAAGAGUCAUUUCCACCCAUUUCCCAUUCAAUUCCCACCCCGCGAGGUAAAGCAUAUACCUUUCUCUCGACCCCAUCCAGAGAUGAUGCAUUUCUCAUUCGGUUGGAAUAGAUACGGAGACCACGGGACACAGGCAGGGACAGAAUUAAGGAGCUCACAUUCUCUCUUGCCUUGCAACUUUUUCAUUUCAAUCAAAGCUAUGUCAUUUUGGUAGGUGGCUCCGUUAUAGUUCUCAUGAACAAUAACUCUGCUCACUCUUCGGACUCUCAACUCAGCGUUAGGAGUUAGCCAGUCUAGUAACGCCGUCCAUAUUUGGUAAUGGGGAGCUCUACUGGGUCUGUAAGAGAAAGCAAAGGGAAAUAAAGUAUAGCAAGAAAAAGAUACGGAUUUUGACACUUCAUCUUAAUUUUCUUCCCUUUAAAGGAUAAUUUUCAAUUUCUGAAUGCUUUUAUCCUCACUGAUAUGAAGCUGUAAAAUUAAAUUUAGUUAGGACAGGAUUAGCUGAGUGGUAAAUGGAGAAAGUGAUGAUUUCCCAACUGUUCCUAUGAUCUUACUAUCUAACCUUUCCAAAUAAUGAAGUGUAUCACAAAAUGGAUUGUCCAUAAGCAAAAAAAGUUGAACAUUUACAACAUCUUCUUAAAUUAUAUCAUCUGUAUAUCUUGUAAAAAUUAUCUGUGAUCUUCUGUUUUCUCGUCAAAUAGCAUAAACUGAACAGAACUUGGCUUCCUCGAA